UGCUUGUUUUGAAAAAGACAAGACAGGAGGUGGAGAAAGGAAAAGGGGCCCGUGCUGCCAGUCUGCGGGGAAAGGAGUUGGGAGGAGAAGAAAUAGUGGUGAUGAGGAAGACCCGCAGUCAUGAGACCUGGAGAUGAAACGAGAGGCGAGACACUAAGAGGAUGGCAUAGAGAGAGAGCUUGAGAUGGAAGGACGCAGUGGAGGAGAAGAUGAGGCAGAUGACAAACACUGGACUAAAUAAAAGUCUACAGCCUAACUAUGAGGCCUCCAGCCUCUCCUCCUACCUUUUCCUGUUCCCAGAACUGUGGCAGCCACCCACAUCCCCGGAAGGAGAUUAGAGAAUUCCUCUUUGGAAAACACUAACUGCACCAGAGGCAGAGAGGAUGAUCUGCGAUCCAGAGAACAGGGAGCAACCCCCGGGAGCAGUGAGGGUGAAGACCCAGACUCUGAGAUCAUCCGUCCAUGAGAAGCAAUGCUGAGGAGAGACUCUCCCACAAGGAGACCCUAACAGAGGGAUCACUGCAGAAAAUGCCUGUUGAUCCCCAGCAAGGCCAGAAGCACGGCAACUGAAAUUCCUCGCACAGCCCAGAUGUUCCGGAGGCCCAGCAAAUCCGAGAUGGACUCAGCAAAGCCAGUGAUGUACAUGGCACCUGCAACACACUGCCCGGGCGUUCCAGACAGGAAGAGCCAGCAAGACAGAGAAGCAUCAGGAGCCUUGGGCAGGACCACCCACCCUGAGCACCCUGCUUGCCCCGACAAACACUUGCACCAGCCCAGGCUCAGCAGCGAGGAACCAGCACCAUUACCCUGCUCUUUUCACCUGGGAAUCUGCCCCAGGCCCCAUUUCUGCUCGACUAUGUCUUGAGCGAGGGGAGAAUGAGCACUGAGCCCAAGCUGAGAGCCGACUGCCAGAGGUGACAAAGAUGAAAAGAGUAUGAGAGGAAGGCGGGGACCUGGGGGGUGCUGGGUCGAAGAGGCCUUCCGAUUUCUCUGUCUGCACCAUUCAAGAACUAAAUCUAGAACAAGAGCAAGCAGGGGGUCCCAUCUUCAGAGCCACAGAAGGGCACUGUGGCCAAUUUCUUUGUAGGUUAAUAUUAUUUCUGAAAUUAUCUAAAACUUGGAAAUAGAGGAAAAAAGUAGACGGCACAGCUUUUCAAGGUCAUAUGUUACAAAAGCUACCCAAGGACAUCUAGGCAAAUGUACUCUGUUCAAUUCACUAUUUGCUAUUAAUAUCUCAGACUAAGUAAAGUUACGUGUUAACUUACAGAUUUUUUUUUUCUAGUAAAAAUACAAGUAACUUUUAUCCAGGGAAACAGAAAGCCCAAAAGAUUAAAAGUUUGUUGUCCCGUAAGACAUCGACUAGCUUUGUAUCUAACCCAGCAACCUUGUCUUUGUAUGUAUUUGGUAAAUUGCCCAGAACUCUGUAGGUUGAUCUCCAUCCAUCUAACAUCCACACCUAGCUUCUCGCUGCUCUUUAACAUCCUAUUGGCUCCUCCACUGAUUGAUGAAUUCAAUAAAAGCUUUGG